GGCCGGUUAGCUCAGUUGGUUAGAGCUUGGUGCUAAUAAUGCCAAGGUCGUGGGUUCGAUCCCCAUACUGGCCA
rnacentral:tRNA from 1 species